rnacentral:misc_RNA from 1 species
UGGAUUUGCGGGUUGCAAUGGAGAAAGAAGCAGCAGCGACGAAUGAAAACACCUCUCUGUUCCCUUUGUUUGCGGCCUCCACCGGCACUCAGCAAAUUUCCUCGACCACCGCCGCCACCACUACCACCGUUUCUCCCCCCGAGUGGCUUUGCAACGCCAGCUUCAUCACCAACCUCUCUGUCAUUAACGAUACGGUUUCCUCUCUCCAAAAGGACCACACCCGAACAGAAUCAGACCAAGAAGAAGAUGAUUCAAGUCCACAAAGGCCCCAACUAAAGCCGCCACCAUCAUCCGCUUCUUAUGAGUUACUUGAAGAAGAAGAUGAAGUAUAUUCUCAUUCCGAUUCUGAUGUUGAUAGUGGUAGUGAGAGAAAGACGAAGAAGAGAAAGGAAAAACCCUACAAGAAAAAGAAAAAUAGGAGGAAGAGAUCCAGAGGUGAGGAUGCUGAUGUUCAUGUCGGUUCCAGAAAGUCGAAUGUUAGGGCUUGGGCCGAUUCCCAUACUAAACCUGCUAAAGAUUAUUACUUUGAUUCUCAUGGAGAUGCUGAUAAUUUGGUCUACGGCUCUCUUUACAGAAUGGAUGUUCCCCGCUAUAAACCUUAUAAUCACACAAAACUAUCUGCUAUGGAUUUUCAUGGUCUGUACCGGUUCAAUAGGAGGAGUGCUAUGUUCGAUAGAGAUGAUGAUAUUGAUGCAUUGGACGUUAAACUAAAAUCAAAUGGUCGUUAUUGGUCUGCAAAGUACGCAGCUCUGGAAUUCCAAAAGAACUUAAAGCGCCUUCGGCUUGUUGCACCCAAGCAGCAUGUGCUCGAUGGUUCGGAUGAUUACAUUCCUUUUUCAGUUACCAAAUUAUUCCAGGAAGGUGUUGAUCAUGGUUUAAUCUCAAAAGCUUCACUUGUUGAAGAAUCUUGGGAAGAUGAAGUGCUACGCAAGAGCCGGGAGUUUAACCAGUUAACCAGGGAGCACCCACAUGAUGAAAAAGUGUGGUUAGAUUUUGCAGAGUUUCAAGACAGGGUUGCAAAAAUGCAACCCCAGAAAGGUUUUCGCUUGCAGAUGCUUGAGAAGAAGAUUAGCAUAUUGGAAAAGGCUGUUGAGCUUAACCCGGAUAAUGAGGAACUGUUACUUUGCCUUCUGAAGGCUUACCAGAGCAGGGACAGCACUGAUAUGCUAAUUGGCCGAUGGGAAAAGGUACUUAUGGGUCAUUCAGGCAGUUCCAAGUUGUGGAAGGAGUAUUUGCAUGUUGUUCAAGGGGAAUUCUCCAGAUUUAAGGUUUCAGAUAUGAGAAAAAUUUAUGCACAUGCAAUCCAAGCUCUAUCAACUGCAUGCAGCAAGCAGUUUAGGCAGGUUUAUCAAAAUGCAAAAGCUUCUUCUCUGGAUCCUGCUAUAGUUCAGCUAGAACUGGGUCUGGUUGAUGUAUUUCUUAGUCUUUGUAGGUUUGAAUGGCAGGCUGGAUACCAGGAGUUGGCCACUGCUUUAUUUCAGGCUGAAAUUGAAUUUAGUUUGUUUUGUCCUUCAUUACUACUAAGUGAACAUAGUAAACUGAGAUUGUUUGAGCACUUUUGGAAUGGCAAUGGCCCAAGGGUUGGAGAAGAAGGGGCUGUUGGUUGGUCCUCUUGGUUGGAGAAAGAGGAAGAAACUAGGCAAAAGACCCUGAAAGAGGAGGAGACUUUGCACGACGAUGAGAGAGGUGGUUGGACUGGCUGGUCUGAACCACUGCUGAAAUUCACCGAAACUGAUAAAAGCCCAGCAAAUGCAACUGAUGAUAAUGUGGCCUCUGAGGAAUUGCAAGAUGAAUUUGAGAACGAAGAAAUAAAGCAGGAAGAUGACACUGAGGCAUUGCUAAAACAACUUGGCAUUGAUGUGGACACUGGGCCUAACAGUGAUAUUAAAAACACUUCAACCUGGAUUAGAUGGUCUGAAGAAGAGUCCUUGCGAGAUUGUAAACAAUGGAUGCCUGUUCACGGAGAAUCUGAUGGGAUAUCUCAGAGUAUUGGGACACCAGAUAGAGAAGACGAUGAACAAUUUUUGAGAGUCUUAUUAUUUGAAGAUGUCAGCGAAUACCUGUUUUCAUUAAGAUCAGAAGAGGCCCGCUUAUCUCUAAUAUGUCAGUUUAUUGA